rnacentral:rRNA from 1 species
UAAAGAAAGCGUAAUAGCUCACUGGUCGAGUCGGCCUGCGCGGAAGAUGUAACGGGGCUAAACCAUGCACCGAAGCUGCGGCAGCGACGCUGAUGCGUUGUUGGGUAGGGGAGCGUUCUGUAAGCCUGCGAAGGUGGCCUGUGAGGGUUGCUGGAGGUAUCAGAAGUGCGAAUGCUGACAUAAGUAACGAUAAAGCGGGUGAAAAGCCCGCUCGCCGGAAGACCAAGGGUUCCUGUCCAACGUUAAUCGGGGCAGGGUGAGUCGACCCCUAAGGCGAGGCCGAAAGGCGUAGUCGAUGGGAAACGGGUUAAUAUUCCCGUACUUGGUGUUACUGCGAAGGGGGGACGGAGAAGGCUAUGUUGGCCGGGCGACGGUUGUCCCGGUUUAAGCGUGUAGGUGUGUGUUCCAGGUAAAUCCGGUUCACUUUAACACUGAGGCGUGACGACGAGGCACUACGGUGCUGAAGCAACAAAUGCCCUGCUUCCAGGAAAAGCCUCUAAGCAUCAGGUAACAUCAAAUCGUACCCCAAACCGACACAGGUGGUCAGGUAGAGAAUACCAAGGCGCUUGAGAGAACUCGGGUGAAGGAACUAGGCAAAAUGGUGCCGUAACUUCGGGAGAAGGCACGCUGACAUGUAGGUGAAGUGAUUUACUCAUGGAGCUGAAGUCAGUCGAAGAUACCAGCUGGCUGCAACUGUUUAUUAAAAACACAGCACUGUGCAAACACGAAAGUGGACGUAUACGGUGUGACGCCUGCCCGGUGCCGGAAGGUUAAUUGAUGGGGUCAGCGCAAGCGAAGCUCCUGAUCGAAGCCCCGGUAAACGGCGGCCGUAACUAUAACGGUCCUAAGGUAGCGAAAUUCCUUGUCGGGUAAGUUCCGACCUGCACGAAUGGCGUAAUGAUGGCCAGGCUGUCUCCACCCGAGACUCAGUGAAAUUGAACUCGCUGUGAAGAUGCAGUGUACCCGCGGCAAGACGGAAAGACCCCGUGAACCUUUACUAUAGCUUGACACUGAACAUUGAGCCUUGAUGUGUAGGAUAGGUGGGAGGCUUUGAAGCGUGGACGCCAGUCUGCGUGGAGCCGACCUUGAAAUACCACCCUUUAAUGUUUGAUGUUCUAACGUGGACCCGUAAUCCGGGUUGCGGACAGUGUCUGGUGGGUAGUUUGACUGGGGCGGUCUCCUCCUAAAGAGUAACGGAGGAGCACGAAGGUUGGCUAAUCCUGGUCGGACAUCAGGAGGUUAGUGCAAUGGCAUAAGCCAGCUUGACUGCGAGCGUGACGGCGCGAGCAGGUGCGAAAGCAGGUCAUAGUGAUCCGGUGGUUCUGAAUGGAAGGGCCAUCGCUCAACGGAUAAAAGGUACUCCGGGGAUAACAGGCUGAUACCGCCCAAGAGUUCAUAUCGACGGCGGUGUUUGGCACCUCGAUGUCGGCUCAUCACAUCCUGGGGCUGAAGUAGGUCCCAAGGGUAUGGCUGUUCGCCAUUUAAAGUGGUACGCGAGCUGGGUUUAGAACGUCGUGAGACAGUUCGGUCCCUAUCUGCCGUGGGCGCUGGAGAACUGAGGGGGGCUGCUCCUAGUACGAGAGGACCGGAGUGGACGCAUCACUGGUGUUCGGGUUGUCAUGCCAAUGGCACUGCCCGGUAGCUAAAUGCGGAAGAGAUAAGUGCUGAAAGCAUCUAAGCACGAAACUUGCCCCGAGAUGAGUUCUCCCUGAGACUUAGAGUCUCCUGAAGGAACGUUGAAGACGACGACGUUGAUAGGCCGGGUGUGUAAGCGCAGCGAUGCGUUGAGCUAACCGGUACUAAUGAACCGUGAGGCUUAACCUU